GAUGAACGCUAGCGGCAGGCUUAAUACAUGCAAGUCGUGGGGCAGCAUGGAGUAGCAAUACUUUGAUGGCGACCGGCAAACGGGUGCGGAACACGUACAAAACCUUCCUUUUAGUGGGGAAUAGCCCAGAGAAAUUUGGAUUAAUACCCCGUAACAUAGCGAUGUGGCAUCACAUUGAUAUUAUAGCUUCGGCGCUAGCUGUUGGGUGUGCGUAUGAUUAGAUAGUUGGCGAGGUAACGGCUCACCAAGUCUACGAUCAUUAGCUGAUGUGAGAGCAUGAUCAGCCACACGGGCACUGAGACACGGGCCCGACUCCUACGGGAGGCAGCAGUAAGGAAUAUUGGUCAAUGGACGAAAGUCUGAACCAGCCAUGCCGCGUGAAGGAUUAAGGUCCUCUGGAUUGUAAACUUCUUUUAUAUGGGACGAAAAAAGGUCUUUCUAGAUCACUUGACGGUACCAUAUGAAUAAGCACCGGCUAACUCCGUGCCAGCCGCCGCCGUAAAAC
rnacentral:rRNA from 1 species